ensembl:misc_RNA Y_RNA Y RNA
GGCUGGUCCGAGUGCAGGAGUGUUUACAAUGAAUUGAUCACAGGCAGUUACAGAGCUCAUUGUUCCUUCUCCAUUCCCCCUGCUUUGCUUGACUAGCUUUAA